CCUACGGGUGGCAGCAGUGAGGAAUAUUGGUCAAUGGACGAGAGUCUGAACCAGCCAAGUAGCGUGAAGGAUGACUGCCCUAUGGGUUGUAAACUUCUUUUAUAAAGGAAUAAAACGAGGCACGUGUGCCUUUUUGAAUGUACUUUAUGAAUAAGGAUCGGCUAACGCCGUGCCAGCAGCCGCGGUAAUACGGAGGAUCCGAGCGUUAUCCGGAUUUAUUGGGUUUAAAGGGAGCGUAGAUGGGUUGUUAAGUCAGUUGUGAAAGUUUGCGGCUCAACCGUAAAAUUGCAAUUGAUACUGGCAGUCUUGAGUACAGUCGAGGUAGGCGGAAUUCGUGGUGUAGCGGUGACAUGCUUAGAUAUCACGAAGAACCCCGAUUGCGAAGGCAGCUUACUAAACUGUGACUGACAUUGAUGCUCGAAAGUGUGGGUAUCAAACAGGAUUAGAUACCCCUGUAGUC
rnacentral:rRNA from 1 species